ACAGAGGUCCCAAGCGUUGUUCGGAUUCACUGGGCGUAAAGGGUGCGUAGGUGGCGAGGAAAGUCGGAUGUGAAAGCUCGGAGCUCAACUCCGAAAUGGCAUUGGAAACUACUUUGCUAGAGGUUUGGAAGGGGGACUGGAAUUCUCGGUGGAGCAGUGAAAUGCGUAGAUAUCGAGAGGAACACCAGUGGCGAAGGCGAGUCCCUGGACAACACCUGACACUGAGGCACGAAAGCUAGGGGAGCAAACAG
rnacentral:rRNA from 1 species